rnacentral:rRNA from 1 species
UGGGGAAUUUUGGACAAUGGGCGAAAGUCUGACGGAGCAACGCCGCGUGAGUGAAGAAGGUUUUCGGAUCGUAAAACUCUGUCUUUUGGGGCGAACGUGAGUAUGGUGAACAAUCAUAGUCAGUGACGGUACCAAAGGAGGAAGCCACGGCUAACUACGUGCCAGCAGCCGCGGUAAUACGUAGGUGGCAAGCGUUGUCCGGAAUUAUUGGGCGUAAAGAGCGCGUAGGCGGGAUAGUCAGUCUGUUGUAAAGUGCGGGGCUCAACCCCGUGAUCGCAAUGGAAACAGCUAUUCUUGAGUGCAGGAGAGGAAAGUGGAAUUCCCAGUGUAGCGGUGAAAUGCGUAGAUAUUGGGAGGAACACCAGUGGCGAAGGCGACUUUCUGGACUGUGUCUGACGCUGAGGCGCGAAAGCCAGGGGAGCGAACGGGAUUAGAUACCCCGGUAGUCCUGGCCGUAAACGAUGGGUACUAGGUGUGGGAGGUAUCGACCCCUUCCGUGCCGGAGUUAACGCAAUAAGUACCCCGCCUGGGGAGUACGGUCGCAAGACUGAAACUCAAAGGAAUUGACGGGGUCAUAGCUG